rnacentral:rRNA from 1 species
GUGUCAGCAGCCGCGGUAAGACGGAGGGGGCUAGCGUUGUUCGGAAUUACUGGGCGUAAAGCGCGCGUAGGCGGAUGUGCAAGUUGGAGGUGAAAGCCCGGGGCUCAACCUCGGAAUUGCCUUCAAAACUGCACAUCUAGAGGCCGGGAGAGGGUAGCGGAAUUACCAGUGUAGAGGUGAAAUUCGUAGAUAUUGGGAAGAACACCGGUGGUGAAGGCGGCUACCUGGACCGAUCCUGGCGCUGGGGUGCGAAAGCGUGGGUAGCAAACAGGAUUAGAUACCCUGGUAGUCCACGCCGUAAACGAUGGGUGCUAGCUGUUGGGGAGCCUAGCUCUUCAGUGGCGCAGCUAACGCGUUAAGCACCCCGCCUGGGGAGUACGGCCGCAAGGUUAAAACUCAAAUGAAUUGACGGGG